rnacentral:rRNA from 1 species
UGCCAGCAGCCGCGGUAACGCGGGGGGCGCAAGCGUUAUUCGGAAUUAUUGGGCGUAAAGGGCGCGCAGGCGGUCUUGUCCGUCAGGUGUGAAAGCUCGGGGCUCAACCCCGGAAGUGCACUUGAAACAGCAAGACUUGAAUACGGUAGAGGAGAGAGGAAUUCCUGGUGUAGAGGUGAAAUGAGUUGAUAUCAGGAGGAACACCGGUGGCGAAGGCGGCUUUCUGGUGCGGUACUGACGCUGAGGUGCGAAAGCAUGGGGAGCAAACAGGAUUAGAUA